CCCGGUGGCCAGAGCGCAGUGGUCCCACCCGGUCCCGUUCCGAACCCGGAAGUGAAACGCUGCCGCGCCAAUGGUAGUCGGACGA
rnacentral:rRNA from 2 species